CAGUAGCCGCGGUAAUACGAGGGGGGCUAGCGUUGUUCGGAUUUACUGGGCGUAAAGGGUGCGUAGGCGGAUUGUUAAGUCAGGGGUGAAAUCCCGAGGCUCAACCUCGGAACUGCCUUUGAUACUGGCGAUCUUGAGUCCGGGAGAGGUGAGUGGAACUGCGAGUGUAGAGGUGAAAUUCGUAGAUAUUCGCAAGAACACCGGUGGCGAAGGCGGCUCACUGGCCCGGAACUGACGCUGAGGCACGAAAGCGUGGGGAGCAAACAGGAUUAGAUACCCGCGUAGUCCCUGUCUCUUAUAC
rnacentral:rRNA from 1 species